rnacentral:tRNA from 1 species
GCCGAGGUAACUCAGUUGGGAGAGUGCGCGGCUGAAGACCGUGAUGUCGUGGGUUCAAGUCCCACCCUCGGCACUA